rnacentral:rRNA from 1 species
UGAGGAAUAUUGGGCAAUGCCCGCAAGGGUGACCCAGCAACGCCGCGUGGAGGAUGAAUGUCGUAAGAUUGUAAACUCCUGUUAGAGGGGAAGAAUAGUACCGGUUGGGCCGGUAUAUGACUGUACCCUCAGAGAAAGCCCCGGCUAACUACGUGCCAGCAGCCGCGGUAAUACGUAGGGGGCAAGCGUUGUCCGGAUUUACUGGGUGUAAAGGGCGCGCAGGCGGGAUAAAAAGUCAGUGGUGAAAUCCUACAGCUUAACUGUAGAACUGCCUUUGAUACUUUUAUUCUUGAGUUCGGGAGAGAGAGACGGAAUUCCAGGUGUAGUGGUGAAAUACGUAGAUAUCUGGAAGAACACCAGUUGCGAAGGCGGUCUCUUGGUCCGACACUGACGCUGAGGCGCGAAAGCGUGGGGAGCAAACA